GAUGAACGCUGGCGGCGUGCCUAAUACAUGCAAGUCGAGCGAACGGACGAGAAGCUUGCUUUUCCGAUGUUAGCGGCGGACGGGUGAGUAACACGUGGAUAACCUACCUAUAAGACUGGGAUAACUUCGGGAAACCGGAGCUAAUACCGGAUAAUAUUUUGAACCGCAUGGUUCAAAAGUGAAAGACGGUCUUGCUGUCACUUAUAGAUGGAUCCGCGCUGCAUUAGCUAGUUGGUAAGGUAACGGCUUACCAAGGCAACGAUGCAUAGCCGACCUGAGAGGGUGAUCGGCCACACUGGAACUGAGACACGGUCCAGACUCCUACGGGAGGCAGCAGUAGGGAAUCUUCCGCAAUGGGCGAAAGCCUGACGGAGCAACGCCGCGUGAGUGAUGAAGGUCUUCGGAUCGUAAAACUCUGUUAUUAGGGAAGAACAUAUGUGUAAGUAACUGUGAACAUCUUGACGGUACCUAAUCAGAAAGCCACGGCUAACUACGUG
rnacentral:rRNA from 1 species